UGGUGAUCAUGUUCUGGCUCCUGAUUGC
rnacentral:piRNA from 1 species